UACGAAGGGGGCUAGCGUUGCUCGGAAUGACUGGGCGUAAAGGGCGCGUAGGCGGUUUGGACAGUCAGAUGUGAAAUUCCUGGGCUCAACCUGGGGGCUGCAUUUGAUACGUUCGGACUAGAGUGGGGAAGAGGGUCGUGGAAUUCCCAGUGUAGAGGUGAAAUUCGUAGAUAUUGGGAAGAACACCGGUGGCGAAGGCGGCGACCUGGUCCAUUACUGACGCUGAGGCGCGAAAGCGUGGGGAGCAAACAGG
rnacentral:rRNA from 1 species